AUUGAACGCUGGCGGCAUGCCUUACACAUGCAAGUCGAACGGCAUCCAGGGUGCUUGCACCUGGUGGCGAGUGGCGAACGGGUGAGUAAUACAUCGGAACGUACCUUAUCGUGGGGGAUAACGCAGCGAAAGCUGUGCUAAUACCGCAUACGCCCUGAGGGGGAAAGCGGGGGAUCGCAAGACCUCGCGCGAUUAGAGCGGCCGAUGCCUGAUUAGAUAGUUGGUGGGGUAAAAGCCCACCAAGGCGAAGAUCAGUAGCUGGUCUGAGAGGACGAUCAGCCACACUGGGACUGAGACACGGCCCAGACUCCUACGGGAGGCAGCAGUGGGGAAUUUUGGAAAAUGGGGGCAACCCUGAUACAGCAAUGCCGCGUGAGUGAAGAAGGCCUUCGGGUUGUAAAGCUCUUCUGUCAGGGAAGAAACACCGGCUCUAACACAGUCCGGGAAUGACGGUACCUGAAGAAUAAGCACCGGCUAACUACGUGCCAGCCGCCGCCGUAAGAC
rnacentral:rRNA from 1 species